CUCCCCUUGAGUAACCUCCCGCUCACCCGUUCAAACUUCCCAAUCAAAACACGCCCUGCGACCUGCAUAACAGAACUCGGACCCUUCCCCAGCCAAUCGGCUGAGGCCACAGCCAUUACCUCACCAACUGCCCCUAGGCCCCAAUAAAACCUUUGUGCUUUUGAAACUCGCUCUCUCUCCCAGGUAUCUCACCGCUGCGUCGGUGCAGAUGUGGGCAAGGAGGAUAACAGACAGGAGGGACCUCCAGAAGAGGCGACAGCUUCUGUUCCUUGAGAGCAGAACCAAGGUCUAAGUUUGCCAGACCAAAAGAAGACCAUUCUUAGAACUAGUGAAAAGGACUAUGUAUCACCAAGAGAUCAUGGAGUUUGAGCUUGUUGCAGAAAGUGCAUGAUACUGAUGCUGAUAAUAACACUGAAGACUUAUCGGAUGAUGGAACGGCAAGAUAGGGAAAGCUGCCUGCUGAUCAGAAACUAUGCCUUGUAUUGAUACAUG